GAUGAACGCUAGCUACAGGCUUAACACAUGCAAGUCGAGGGGCAGCAUGGUCUUAGCUUGCUAAGGCCGAUGGCGACCGGCGCACGGGUGAGUAACACGUAUCCAACCUGCCGUCUACUCUUGGACAGCCUUCUGAAAGGAAGAUUAAUACAAGAUGGCAUCAUGAGUCCGCAUGUUCACAUGAUUAAAGGUAUUCCGGUAGACGAUGGGGAUGCGUUCCAUUAGAUAGUAGGCGGGGUAACGGCCCACCUAGUCUUCGAUGGAUAGGGGUUCUGAGAGGAAGGUCCCCCACAUUGGAACUGAGACACGGUCCAAACUCCUACGGGAGGCAGCAGUGAGGAAUAUUGGUCAAUGGGCGAGAGCCUGAACCAGCCAAGUAGCGUGAAGGAUGACUGCCCUAUGGGUGGUAAACUUCUUUUAUAAAGGAAUAAAGUCGGGUAUGGAUACCCGUUUGCAUGUACUUUAUGAAUAAGGAUCGGCUAACUCCGUG
rnacentral:rRNA from 1 species